rnacentral:rRNA from 1 species
UAGGGAAUCUUCCACAAUGGACGCAAGUCUGAUGGAGCAACGCCGCGUGAGUGAAGAAGGUUUUCGGACCGUAAAGCUCUGUUGUUGGUGAAGAAGGAUAGAGGUAGUAACUGGCCUUUAUUUGACGGUAAUCAACCAGAAAGUCACGGCUAACUACGUGCCAGCAGCCGCGGUAAUACGUAGGUGGCAAGCGUUGUCCGGAUUUAUUGGGCGUAAGGCGAGCGCAGGCGGAAGAAUAAGUCUGAUGUGAAAGCCCUCGGCUUAACCGAGGAAUUGCAUCGGAAACUGUUUU